GGGUAGUUAACUCAGUUGGCAGAGUGUUCGUAUCACAUACGAAUUGUCGUAGGUUCAAAUCCUACACUACCCA
rnacentral:tRNA from 1 species